rnacentral:rRNA from 1 species
CACACCGCCCGUCACACCAUGGGAGUUGGUCAUACCUGAAGACGGUGUUCUAACCUGGCAACAGGGGGAAGCCGGCCACGGUGUGGUCAGCGACUGGGGUG